rnacentral:lncRNA from 1 species
GACAUAAGUUGGACACCCCCAAAGCCUAAGGUGUGAGUGUUGGGAUUCAAAUGCACAACGGAAUUGAAAUUUAAAAAUUUUUAACAUGCAACCAUAAUAAAAAAUAUGUGAUCCGAGUCCCAAUCCCAAAAUCAUCUUGAAGCAUUCAAUCAAACAAGAACAUGAAUCACAUAGCAUAUACAUAAAAGAGAGAUUGAAAAUGUUAUACCAAAUAGGA